rnacentral:rRNA from 1 species
AGAGUUUGAUCCUGGCUCAGGACGAACGCUGGCGGCGUGCUUCAUACAUGCAAGUCGAACGAGAAUCUCUAGCUUGCUAGAGAGGAAAGUGGCGGACGGGUGAGUAAUAUGUAGAGAAUCUGCCCUUGAGAGGGGGACAACAGAGGGAAACUUCUGCUAAUACCCCAUAUGAGCUUAGCUGAGAUGCUAAUCUUGAAAACUCCGGUGCUCAAGGAUGAGUCUGCAUCUGAUUAGCUAGUUGGCGGUGUAAUGGACCACCAAGGCGACGAUCAGUAGCUGGUUUGAGAGGAUGAUCAGCCACAAUGGGACUGAGACACGGCCCAUACUCCUACGGGAGGCAGCAGUAGGGAAUUUUGCGCAAUGGGGGCAACCCUGACGCAGCAACGCCGCGUGAACGAUUAAGCCCUUCGGGGUGUAAAGUUCUGUCAGCAGGGACGAAUAAUGACGGUACCUGCAGAGGAAGCACCGGCUAACUCCGUGCCAGCAGCCGCGGUAAUACGGAGGGUGCGAGCGUUGUCCGGAAUCAUUGGGCGUAAAGAGUUCGUAGGUGGCAUGUAAAGUCCGGUGUUAAAUUCAGGAGCUCAACUUCUGUUCGGCACUGGAUACUUGCAAGCUAGAAUUCGGUAGAGGUAAAGGGAAUUCCUGGUGUAGCGGUGAAAUGCGUAGAUAUCAGGAGGAACAUCGGUGGCGUAAGCGCUUUACUGGGCCGACAUUGACACUGAGGAACGAAAGCCGGGGUAGCAAAUGGGAUUAGAUACCCCAGUAGUCCCGGCCGUAAACGAUGGAUACUAGGUGUUGCGGGUAUCGACCCCUGCAGUGCCGGAGCUAACGCGUUAAGUAUCCCGCCUGGGGAGUACGCACGCAAGUGUGAAACUCAAAGGAAUUGACGGGGACCCGCACAAGCGGUGGAACAUGUGGUUUAAUUCGAAGCAACGCGAAGAACCUUACCAGGGCUUGACAUCUGAGGAACCUGAAUGAAAGUUUAGGGUGCUCUUCGGAGAGCCUCAAGACAGGUGGUGCAUGGUUGUCGUCAGCUCGUGUCGUGAGAUGUUG